GAAAUUCCCUUCGGGCUUUCUGCAAGGUGCUGCAUGGUUGUCGUCAGCUCGUGCCGUGAGGUGCCGGGUUAAGUCCCAUAACGAGCGCAACCCUUAUCGUUAGUUGCCAGCUGGUAAAGCAGGGGACUCUAGCGAAACUGCCACCGUAAGGUGAGAGGAAGGUGGGAUGACGUCAAAUCAGCACGGCCCUUAUGUCCAGGGCUACACACGUGUUACAAUGGCCGGCACAGAGGGCAGCUACCUGGUGACAGGAUGCUAAUCUCGAAAACCGGUCUCAGUUCGGAUCGAAGUCUGCAACUCGACUUCGUGAAGCUGGAUUCGCUAGUAAUCGCGCAUCAGCCAUGGCGCGGUGAAUACGUUCCCGGGCCUU
rnacentral:rRNA from 1 species